rnacentral:rRNA from 1 species
UACAGAGGGGGCAAGCGUUGUUCGGAAUUACUGGGCGUAAAGGGCGCGUAGGCGGCCUGCUAAGUCGAACGUGAAAUCCCCGGGCUUAACCUGGGAAUGGCGCUUGUUACUGGCAGACUAGAGUGCGUCAGAGGGGGGUGGAAUUCCACGUGUAGCAGUGAAAUGCGUAGAGAUGUGGAGGAACACCGAUGGCGAAGGCAGCCCCCUGGGAUGACACUGACGCUCAUACACGAAAGCGUGGGGAGCAAACAGG